rnacentral:lncRNA from 1 species
AGAGCAUGUGCGUGGGCGCACGCACGCGGGGGUCCAUCUCUGCCUGGAACACACCUUCUCCCCAGCUUCCUCCGGAGAAUUCUUCUUCGCCCUUGGGAGCUCACUCAAGGGUAUGGCCCCGGAGAGCCCCCGUCCCGCCUCCCGCCCUGGUGUUGCCUGCCUUCCUCCUCCGCCUCCUCCUCCUCCUCCUCCGUGUUCCUGCAGCACGGACAGCAGGGGCCGUCUGUCCAGCCCAGGUGUUCCAUGGCAGCCUGCCCAGACUUCUGUUCCAGCGCGGAUCGAAAUGUACCACGAUGAUCAAAUAACCUUGCCGUCCGCCCGGCCGGGAAUUUAGACUCUCGGAGAGUACCAUACGCAGCUGGUCAACACUGCGGCUCCAGGGACGUGGAGGGAGCUCCGGAGAGGUUAACAAAACUGAGCGUUCUGGGCUGAAUUGUGUCCUCCCCUAAAUCCAUAUGUUGGAGCCCUGACCCCAGGACCUUGGAAUGUGCCAGGAUUUGGAGAUGGGUCUUUAAGGACGUGAUGGAGGUACAAUGAGGUCAUGAGGGCGGGUCCUGAUGCAACAGGACUGGGGUCCUGAUGAGAAGAGGAGAUGAGACACGCACAGAGGGACGACCACGUGGAGGACACGUGGAGAAGAUGCGUCUACACAGCAAGGAGAGAGGCCUCAGGAGGGACCAGCCCUGCCCGCACUUGGAUCUCGGACAUCCAGCCUCCGGGACUGUGAGACCAUAAAUAAACGUUGAAGCCACCCCACCUGGGGUAAUUUGUCCUGAUGGCUUUAGCAACCCAACACGAUGAGCGAACCGAAUAGGACACGAACCGAAAUUCUAGUUACGCUGUCCAAUACGGUAGCCACGAGCCACGUGACUAAGUUUCAAUCAAUUAAAAUUCAAGGCCAUUAGAAAGCCAGGCCCUCAGUGAAUCUAGCCACACGCAAGCGAUCAGAAGCCACACGUGGCUGGUGGCUCCUGUACUGGACACAGCGGGUCCAGAUGGGUCUUGCUGUUCACCCAUCCUGUUCUUGGUGAGAUUCGGCUCCUCUGAGCCGGACGGAAGGACAAGCUGGUCCAGUCUGCCCUUCUGAAGGCGUGUGCCCCUCCUAGAUGUCCCCAGAUGGAGGCCCAUGGGUGGUGCCGCCAUCUUGGAAUGACGUCCCUUGAGUUGACUUGUCCAUGCUGGGACUACGUAAGUGGGUACAUGCGCCCAGCCCCUUCACUGUUCUCCACGGGCAGGAGAAAGCCAGUGCCUGUCGGUUCCCAUCCCGUGCUGGCCACCACUCAGGGCUCACCAUGUUCCGCCGUGGGUACGUCAACCCCAUGCCCCUCAGAUUCCCGGCGGGUGGAACCCAGACAACGGUAUUCCUUAUAAUGGCGCGAGGAAUCCCAAUGAGUCGCCAGGGCUGGCCACCACUUCUUUUGUUGCAAGUUCAUUUUUUGCAGAUGCCCUUUUGUUUUGUUCCUCAAUUUUACCCAUUUCACGUGACCGUCUGGUUUCCUGGAACCCCCUCCCGUCAAGGGCUGACUCCUCCGACACCUGACCUCUUGGAAUCUGCCGCUUGGCCAAAAGCAUCCUCGUUACCGGAUGAACUCAUCAUUUCAUGGCCCCAAAGACAGCAGGUAGAUGCCUGGACCCCGUGCACGUUACCUUAGACGGCAAAGGGAUUUUGAAGCCGUGAUUAAGUGAAGGGUGUUGAGUUGGGGAGUUGACCCUGGAUCAUCAGGUUGACCCCAUGUCAUCACAAAGGUCCUUAUCAGAGGGAGGUGGGACGGUCAGAGGAAGAGCAGAUGGUGUGAUCACGGGAGACGGGAUCGGAGCGACGCGCGGCCCCCAGCCAAGGAAUGCGGCCGCCUCUGGAAGCUGGCAGAGGCCAGGAAGCACGCCCUCCUAGAACGUCCAUAUGGGACCGGCGCUGUCGACACCUUGACUCUGUCCCCAGGAGACCCAUUUUGGACUUCCGGCCUGCCGAGCGGAGAUGCAGUUGGCUGGAAAACGGCUGAGCGACGUUCCCUGCUCUGGAGAUGCCACCGAGGAGACACAGGCCCCGAAAGAGUGAGAUUUUAGGUUCUCUGCAGCGUUGGGAUGCCGGGCUCCUGCCAACCCACCAGAAGGAAAUGGACACGAUUAAAAGAUAAGUGAAAACAAGGAAAGGGUUCAUUUACAGUCAGUUGUGAAAUACGGCGAGAUGCGUGUGGCCGGAAUUCACGGUGCUGGGCAAAAAUGGGCUGUAAAAACCAGAGUUUAGGGAAAAACUGGGAUUAAGGUCAUGCCACUGGAGAAUUUUGUCAUGGACACAUGAAAAGAGGAGAGAGGAUUAUAGCAAAGGGGUGGCAUGGGUUGACGGGGGUUCAUGGCUAAGGCACACACAAGCACGGAAAUGACUAGGGAUACUGACCCGGGAAAGCUUGUUUGUAGAAUUGGAUGUUGGAAGCGUUUUGUCUUUUGGGAGAAAUCUCAGGGAAAGUGUAAAUAAAAGAUGUGGGUGGGUCUGAAUCAC